rnacentral:rRNA from 1 species
GCAAGCGUAUACGGGCGCACGACGGAUGCCUUGGCACUGACAGGCGAUGAAGGACGCGGUAAGCUGCGAAAAUCUGCGGGGAGUGGCACACACACUAUAAUCCGCAGGUAUCCGAAUGGGGAAACCCGCCGUUCAUUAAAUAGAGCGGCACCUUCGGCUGAACACAUAGGCCGUUGGGGCAAUACCGGGGGAAGUGAAACAUCUCAGUACCCCGAGGAGAGGAAAUCAAACGAGACUCCGCAAGUAGUGGCGAGCGAACGCGGAUCAGCCCAAACCGGGAGGCUUGCCUUCCGGGGUUGUGGGAGCCGUCAUCAGAUGUUAUAGAUUUGCAGGGGAACGGUCUGGAAAGGCCGGCCAAAGGGGGUGAUAGCCCCGUACCUGAAGCGACUCUUGACAUCGGCGGUAUCCCGAGUAGGGCGGGGCACGUGAAACCCUGCCUGAAUCUGGGGGGCCCACCCUCCAAGGCUAAGUACUAGUCAGUGACCGAUAGUGAACGAGUACCGCGAGGGAAAGGUGAAAAGAACCCCGUGAGGGGAGUGAAAUAGACCUGAAAUCGUGUGCCCACAAGCUAUGGGAGCACGCAUUAUGCGUGUGACCGUUUGCCUUUUGCAUAAUGAGUCCGCGAGUCACCCCGUGCGGCAAGGUCGACCCCUUCAAGGGGGCAGCCGCAGCGAAAGCGAGUGCUAACUGCGCGUUUAGUCGCGCGGGGUGGACCCGAAGCCCGGCGAGCUACCCCUGGGCAGGCUGAAGUCCCCGUAACUGGGGAUGGAGGGCCGAACCGUUGUCCGUUGAAAAGGGCUCGGAUGACCUGGGGGUUGGAGUGAAAGGCUUAUCAAGCCGGGUGAUAGCUGGUUCUCCCCGAAAUGUAUUUAGGUACAGCCUCCCGUUAACCGCAGUGGGGGUAGAGCACUGAUUGGACUAGGGCCCCUACCGGGGUACCGACGCCUGUCAAACUCCGAAUACCACUGUUAGGAUGCGGGGGAGUGAGACUGUGGGGGCUAAGCUUCACAGUCGAGAGGGAAACAGCCCAGACCGCCGUCUAAGGCCCCUAAAGGUGGCUCAGUCACUAAGGAUGUGGGGUUUCAUGGACAGCCAGGAUGUUGGCUUAGAGGCAGCCACCAUUUAAACAGUGCGUAAUAGCUGACUGGUCGAGAGAUCUUGCGCCGAAAAUGAUCGGGAGUCAAGCCAUCUGCCGAAGACGCGGGGUGUCGCAAGACACCGAUAGGGGAGCGUGCCACCAGGGCAGAAGCGGGAGCGGAAGCGACCGUGGACUUUGUGGCAGUGAUUAUGCGGACAUGAGUAACGAAAAGACGGGUGGAAAUCCCGUCCGCCGGAAUCCUAAGGUUUCCCGGGGCAGGUUCGUCCGCCCGGGGUCAGCCGGGACCUAAGCCGAGGCCGAAGGGCGUAGGCGAUGGGCACACGGUCAACAUUCCGUGGCCGGCCGCAAGAGUUAUCCGAUGGGGAGUGCGCGUGGCUAAUGCAGGGGGGUGAUGGAAUACCCCCUCGAAGCGCGCAGGGCGCCGGGCAGGUAAAUCCGCCCGCACAAAGGCCCGAGGCGUAAGGUAGGGAGGGCUUGCCCUCCCGAGUGCGCUAUGCCACGCGUCGAGAAAAGACCCUAAGGUCGAGCGGCCGCCCGUACUAAAACCGACACAGGUAGGAAGGUGGAGUACACCAAGGCGCGCGAGAGUAACCUCGUUAAGGAACUCGGCAAUCUAGCCCCGUAACUUCGGGAGAAGGGGCCCCCCGCGAGGGGGCGCAGUGAAAGGGCCCGUGCGACUGUUUAACAAAAACACAGCACUCUGCCAACGCGCAAGCGGAAGUAUAGAGUGUGACACGUGACCAAUGCGGAAAGGUCAAGGCAAGGGGUUAGCCGCAAGGCGAAGCUCUGAACCGAAGCCCCCGUGAAUGUCGGCCGUAACUAUAACGGUCCUAAGGUAGCGAAAUUCCUUGUCGGGUAAGUUCCGACCUGCACGAAUCGUGUAACGACAUGGGCGCUGUCUCAACGAGGAUCUCGGUGAAGUUGUAAUUCCGGUGAAGAUGCCGGAUUCCCGCAGAAGGACGGAAAGACCCUGUGAACCUUUACUGUAUUCUGGCGCUGUCGCCUGUCACCUCAUGUGUAGUAUAGCCGGGAGCCUGUGAAGCCAUCGCGUUAGCGGUGGUGGAGGCACCAGUGAAAUACCGGUCUUGUGGUGAUGGUCGUCUAACGCCGAGCCGUUAACCGGCCGGCGGACAACGCCUGAUGGUCAGUUUGACUGGGGCGGUUUCCUCCCAAAGAGUAACGGAGGAGUUCUAAGGUCACCUCAGCACGGUCGGCAAUCGUGCUAAAGAGCGCAAGGGCAUAAGGUGGCCUAACUGCGAGACUUACAAGUCGAGCAGAUGCGAAAGCAGGACCUAGUGAUCCGGCGGUAGCUCGUGGCAGCGCCGUCGCUCAACGGAUAAAAGGUACUCCGGGGAUAACAGGCUGAUCGCCGCCGAGAGUCCACAUCGACGCGGCGGUUUGGCACCUCGAUGUCGGCUCAUCGCAUCCUGGGGCUGGAGAAGGUCCCA